AUGCCGCCGCCGGCGACGGCCCAGGGCACCCUAGGGGCGACGGCCGCGGUGCUGGCCGAGCUCCUGCACCCCGGGCGCGACCCAGACGAGGCGGACGAGAUCUUGGCCCGCCUGCUCUUCUGCACCCACCACACCCUCCCCGACCCGCCCGUCUCCGCCGCCGCCCGCCUCUCCGCCCUCCCCUCCGGCGACGCCGUCGACCGCGUCAGCCGCCUCCCCGACGCGCUUCUCCGCAGCAUCGUCUCACUCCUGCCCGUCAAGGACGCCGCGCGCACGGCCGCGCUCUCCCGCCGCUGGCGCGGGGUCUGGCGCUCCGCCCCGCUCGUCCUCGCCGACGCGGACCUCUCCCCCUCCCCGGCCGCCCCCGCCCUGUCCCGCGUCCUCGAGGCGCACCCGGGGCCCUUCCGCUGCGUCCACCCCACCGGCAGCUGCACGGAGGAGUCCCGCCACCUGCUCGGGCCCUGGCUCCAGCUCCUCGCCGCCAAGGCCGUGCAGGAGCUCGUCCUCGUCAACCGCCGGCGCCCGCUCGACGUCGUCCUCCCCGCCACGUUCCUGCGCACGGCCACCCUCACCCGCCUCCACCUCUGCUUCUGGAAGUUCCCCAGCACGGCCGGGCUCCCGCCGGGCGUCUCUUUCCCCAACCUCCGUGAGCUCGGGCUGUACAGCGUCGUCGUGGAGGGCCGGGAUCUGGACUUCAUGCUCGACAGGAGCCCGGUGCUGGAGACGCUCUGCCUCGAAGGGAACCUGUUCACGCUCCGGCUGCGCCUUGUCAGCCAAAGCCUCCGGUGCGUGCAGAUCAUCGGGUCCUUCUUGGAGGAGAUCUUCGUGGUGAACGCCCCACUCCUUGAGCGCCUCAUCAAUUUGGAAGGCUGGACCCAUGAGGCCGGCUGCACCAAGGUCAAGAUUGGCCAUGCCCCCAAGCUGCAAUUGUUGGCAUACUUGCAGUUGGACACACGGAAUCACGUCCUGGAGAUCGGCAACACAAUCAUCAAGGCUGGUACAAAGGUGAGCCCAAGAACCAUGGUAACAAGUGUGACAGUCCUGGCUUUGGAGGUGCGUUUCGGAGUGCGCAAUGAUGCCAAGAUGAUUCCCAGUGUCCUCGGAUGCUUUCCUAAUGUCGAGACGCUCUACAUCAAGUCUGGACAGCCUGAUCAAUCCACUGGCAAGCUCAACCAAAAGUUCUGGCACGACUCUGGUGCCAUAGAAUGCAUCCGGUCACGCAUCAAGCGGCUGAUUUUCCAUGAUUUCCAAGGGGGUCGAAGUGAGCUCGCCUUCCUCAAAUACUUCGUCGAGAGUGCAUUGAUGCUCAAGCAGGUGGUGAUCCUGUUGUCCACUGGCUCCACUUUGCCGGCGGAGGAGGUGCAUUCCAAAAUGGCGAAUGUGAAACGGGCAGGUGAAAUCUCCAUAGCGCUGGUCACUGGCUAUUCUGAACUUCAAGGACGUUACAAGAGAGGGUCUGAAUUUUCUCUUGGCGAGCUUUUUUCCCUUAUGAAAUUUCCUUGUGCAAACUACUGA
rnacentral:rRNA from 1 species